rnacentral:lncRNA from 1 species
GACUGGACAUUUUAAAUUUUGAAUUGUGACUCAAAUUCAAAGUACUAGAGGACUUUUACCAUCUUAAGAAUGAUGAUCAACUCAUGGAAUCUGGAAUGCAGUGGAGGUGAUACUAUGGUCAUAAUGACCAGGGGCUGGGUCAGAAGAACUUCAGAUUGAGCCUCUUGAAACAUUUGCUCUUGGAAUUCUCCCUCUCAGGAAACUAACAGCCUGCUAUGAAGCCCAAGCCACAAAGAGAGGCCAAGGGGAAAUAAACAGAGUGUGAUUAUAUGCAAAACCUACAAGAAUGAGGACCUCCAAACUCAGUGUACAGAGUGAUUUUCUGCUGAAACAAUUGGCUUUUAAAAAAUUGUGUGACUGACCAGCAGCAGUGGCUCACAUCUGUAAUCCCAGCACUUUGGGAGGCCGAGAAAAUAAAAGAGACAUCAGUGUGUGAAUGACGACUUUCUGUUGCUGACUUGGAAGACAGAGGAAUUGGGUCAUGAGCCGAGGAAGGUGGGCAGCUUCUAAAAGGCGGAAAAGUGGCUGAAGUGAGAGGAAGCGAGGAUAUGGCUGACAUUCUCCAAGAAGCAGUGACUUCAGAAGAUGACUGGCAUCUUGAACUUCAGGAAAAUGCUUGGCCUUUUUAACUCUGAAAGUCUGUUUGAAACUCAGAAGAAGAAAAUUAGGUGAAUACAAAACUGCUGCCAAACUUAGAAACUUGGUUAAAUAUCCUGCAGAAAAUAUCAUGGGCUUUUCAGAGUCCAGUUAAAUAUCUACAGAUUAUAUUUCCAGUUUCAUACCUGGGGCAUUAACUCUAUUCAUUUUACUAGCUUUAGUGAAUUUUACUUCUGGAGCAUAACAUUGCAUUGAAAAUGUGUCCUCUAACCUAUGAUAUUUAUGUAUCGUUUAAUAUGAAAUUUAUGAGGUUCCAUUUCUGAUUUCCAAAUGGAUGCAAAUUAGAACACAGGAUAUUUACAUUCUUUCAUUUCUAACCCACAUACAUAAAGUUUGACUUUAAAAUGCCACUGUUCGUGUCUGUUUCAUAGAAGCUCUAGGUAUUUAUACGUCCAUUGUGUCUCUGGCACACUCUGAAUUCCAGUUUUUAAUCUAAUAUUGGGCAGGAAUUGGCUAUAAAAAUACAAUGCCAUUGAGGACAGAGCUGGAUUGCUUUUUUUCUGUUAAUUCUUGAGAACUUUAUAGUUUCUCAGGGAAGUAUAAUUUGUAACCACAUCAUCAUCUAACACUUUUCCUGUCUUUUUUGGAGAUUGACAGUUGAAAAUCUAUAAGAUCUUUUUGCAACUAAGAUCAGGAAAAA